GGAAAUAAAAGCUGCCUGCCCCCCACACCAUCAGCCAGCAGCAACAACCCGUUCUGAUACCCUUGCAAGCUGUGGAAGGUUUGUCCGUUGGCUCUUCACAAUAAACCUUGCUACUCAUCACUGUUUGGGUCCCUACCAUCUUUAAAAGCUGUAAUACUCACCUGCUAUCUUUAAGAGCUGUAACGCUUAUUGUGACGAUCCGGGACUCCAUUCUUGGAAGUCAGCAAGACCACAGCAGAAACCGACUCCAGACAGUUUCCUGUGCUCCAGAAGACUUUGAGGGAUCGAGAACUUUUGGUGCUUAGCAUGAUGUUUCAAGUAUUCAUGAAAUAUUUCGGGAAUGGAACUGAUAGUUACUGAAAAGAGAUGUCAGCGGAAGGGGAGUAAGCUGAAGUCAAAGGACCAAGGCUCUAAUUCUACCCCUGCCAAAACCCAAGGUACCCUAGGAAUCAAUCUUGGUCUGAGAGACUGCAUAUUAACAGGAGGCCAGGAAGGCAAGAACAGGGGUGUGCCAUCAUCUAGUCACCUCUGGAGCAGAGCUUUGCAAAGAGCAUUCCUCAGGAAGAUUCCUCAGAGGUCCUCUACAAUUCUCCAAAACCAGCAUAAUGUAGUUAGUAAGAAUAUGGAUUCCUGAAGUCAUAUCCCAGCUCUCUCACUCACUUCUCUGUAAAAUGAGGACAAUGAUGAUGAUAAUGAUGAUGAUUAGUACUCCUAGAGGUAUGAUGAGGAUAAAAUAAAAUAAUACAUGAAAACAAUUUUGAAUUGCGCUCAGCACCUGUAAAAGCAUUCAAAGGAAGUGAUUAUGCUACAUGUUACUUUUUUAUUUGUAUAAAAGUACCACAAAUGUAUUUUAUCCAGAUGAUAAACAUUUAGUUGAUUUCCAAUUUUUCACUUUAAUAAACAAUGUCA
rnacentral:lncRNA from 1 species